rnacentral:lncRNA from 1 species
GUGCUUCUAAGCCGUUUAUGAUGAUGGAUUUCUGACGAUCGGCUCGUCAGACUUGAUCUAGCGUAUUUGAAAUAUUUAGAAAAUAAAUUUUAUGAUUUUUAGAUAUCAUUUACCUAGCGAUCAAAAAGAUUUAAAAUCAAUAAUUUUUAAUGGUUGAUGUAUAUCAUUUACAAGUUUAAUGGUGUAAAAGUAUUCAAAUAAGAUAAAAUUUUGAUAGAAAAUUUUUUAUAUUAUUUACUACAAGAUUAAUAUCUCUAAUUGAAAAUUUUAGUGCUAUAUCAUCAUUUUUUGUGACAUUUUUAUUUUUAGCUGUUAAUUUUGAAUAUUUUCGAUCGCUCUGUAAAUGAUAUCGAAAAAUCGCAAAAUUUAUUUUUUUAAAUACUUCAAAUAUGUUAGCUCAAAUCUAACGGAGCUGAUCGUUAAUUCGGAAGUUCCAUCAUCAAAAACGACUUAGGAGCACGAAUACCUCUCUGUACUCCUAAUAAAAUAUAAGAACUACUCUAU